rnacentral:pre_miRNA from 1 species
CUAGUACUCCCUCCGAUCCUAAAUUCUUGUCUCAAAUUUGUCCAAAUAUGGAUGUAUCUAUUCUUAAAAAGUGUCUAGAUACAUGUAAUAUUUCGACAACAAUUUAGGAUCGGAGGGAGUACUUU